CCGGGUGGGAGAGGGGAAGAGAGGAAUCAGGAAAAAGUGACUUGCUUUUGGCCUGGGAGAGCUUGAAGGAAAAAUGUAGCUAAGAGGUCCCUGGUUUCCGUCACCAGAGGAACUUAUCUUCGAAUGGCUUACAAAAUUAGGAUGCUAGUUGCUUCCCCCAACGAUUGCGUUACCUGCUGAUUCUAUGGGAUCACAUGGAGAGGAGGAGAAAGCUGCCGGGAGAACAGUGGUUCAGUGACCAGAAAAUCCUCUUUUCCCCAAGCCACACACAAAACACACGAUUCAGGGGCUGGACUCACACUGAGAAGCUAUUAGCAGCUGAUGCAGGGUGAGGAAAAGAGAGUCAUUGUCUUCAGUGAUGCAGCUGCUGUUGAGAUACCCAGGCACCACAGGUGGGAAGAUCCACAUUUAAUCUGGGCCACACCUUCUGCUGGCAUAUCGAAGACGUAGAAGAAACCUCUCCUCUGCCUGCUUGCCCUCACUCUGGCUAGCAAAUCCAUUCUGGAAUUAGAGCCUACCUCUGUGGGAUUCUGGCAUAUGCAGAAGACCAGAUGAGACAUUUAGCCUUAUGGAAAAACUCUGGAUGCUUGGACCUUCUGUUGAUAGACUGCCAAUAUUGGACUAGCAGGACCACAGCCUGUAAGCCACUCUAAAUAAACCUCUGUGUGUG
rnacentral:sRNA from 1 species